AUGCCAUUUUGCUGCUACGCUGCUGCUGUUCAAUGGCAGCACCACAAGGUUUCUCGUCCCCUGCUUCCACACCUUUCUUGUCUGCCACUGGGCUGCCGAUGUUUUAUCCGGCGAGGUGCGCAGUGCGCUUUGGGUUUCGGUGAUUGUGGCAAGCCAGCGUCGAUAAAUGCGGCAAGGGUCUUCAUACGGCAACCAUUGUUUGGCCUGUCAUGGGCCAUGCAGCGGCGUGAGGAUUCCAUGCCGGAGCACGUCGGCGCUACAAGCAUCCACUGGACGGCACCUUCAUCGGUUACGACCUCUGUACGUAAGUAG
rnacentral:rRNA from 1 species